GACGAACGCUGGCGGCGUGCUUAACACAUGCAAGUCGAACGGAAAGGCCCUGCCUUUGUGGGGUGCUCGAGUGGCGAACGGGUGAGUAACACGUGAGUAACCUGCCCUUGACUUUGGGAUAACUUCAGGAAACUGGGGCUAAUACCGGAUAGGAGCUCCUGCUGCAUGGUGGGGGUUGGAAAGUUUCGGCGGUUGGGGAUGGACUCGCGGCUUAUCAGCUUGUUGGUGGGGUAGUGGCUUACCAAGGCUUUGACGGGUAGCCGGCCUGAGCGGGUGACCGGCCACAUUGGGACUGAGAUACGGCCCAGACUCCUACGGGAGGCAGCAGUGGGGAAUAUUACACAAUGGGCGGAAGCCUGAUGCAGCAACGCCGCGUGCGGGAUGACGGCCUUCGGGUUGUAAACCGCUUUCGCCUGUGACGAAGCGUGAGUGACGGUAAUGGGUAAAGAAGCACCGGCUAACUACGUG
rnacentral:rRNA from 1 species